GUCGUUCAUCUCUUUUAGAGAUCUCUUUAAAGGAGACGGAAGUAAGAGACAUAGUGUCCCUGAAGGAACGCGUG
rnacentral:ncRNA from 10 species